rnacentral:tRNA from 1 species
GGGGGUGUAGCUCAGUCGGAAGAGUGCUUGCCUAACAUGCAUGUAGUCCUGGGUUCGACUCCUAUCACUCUAU